GUCUUGGUGGUGUAGUGGUAGCACGCGCCUCCUGUAUGGGUGAAGUGCAGGUUCAACUCCCGCCUGAGAUC